UUAUAAAUAAUUUAAUAACCAGAUGCUCCGCAGGACGCAGCUUUAUACGACCGCAGAGGUUGAACCCUGAACGGUUGGAGCAAGUAUGGACACAACAUUCAAGCUGGAUUCAGCUCUAAAUUUGGAUUGUGAUUAAAUAGUUGACACAGCAUAGGUUUCUGACACAGAGUGAAUGUGGUCUAAUGAACUUAAAAUUAUUUUUUUUUUUGCCUUUUAGCAAUUCACUAUGCUGUUGAAU
rnacentral:lncRNA from 1 species